rnacentral:rRNA from 1 species
AGCGAACGCUGGCGGCAGGCUUAACACAUGCAAGUCGAGCGGGCGUAGCAAUACGUCAGCGGCAGACGGGUGAGUAACGCGUGGGAACGUACCUUUUGGUUCGGAACAACACAGGGAAACUUGUGCUAAUACCGGAUAAGCCCUUACGGGGAAAGAUUUAUCGCCGAAAGAUCGGCCCGCGUCUGAUUAGCUAGUUGGUGAGGUAACGGCUCACCAAGGCGACGAUCAGUAGCUGGUCUGAGAGGAUGAUCAGCCACAUUGGGACUGAGACACGGCCCAAACUCCUACGGGAGGCAGCAGUGGGGAAUAUUGGACAAUGGGCGCAAGCCUGAUCCAGCCAUGCCGCGUGAGUGAUGAAGGCCCUAGGGUUGUAAAGCACUUUCAGUAGGGAAGAAAAGCCGAGUGCUAAUAUCAUUCGGUCUUGACGUUACUUACAGAAGAAGCACCGGCUAACUCCGUGCCAGCCGCCGCUGUAAU